GCCUUUGUGGUGUAGUGGUCAGCACGCUCGAUGUGAAUUCGAGAGGUCUGUGGUUCGAGUCCCGGUGAGGGCA
rnacentral:tRNA from 1 species